AACGAACGCUGGCGGCAGGCUUAACACAUGCAAGUCGAGCGCCCCGCAAGGGGAGCGGCAGACGGGUGAGUAACGCGUGGGAAUCUACCCAUCUCUACGGAAUAACGCAUGGAAACGUGUGCUAAUACCGUAUACGUCCUUCGGGAGAAAGAUUUAUCGGUGAUGGAUGAGCCCGCGUUGGAUUAGCUAGUUGGUGGGGUAAAGGCCUACCAAGGCGACGAUCCAUAGCUGGUCUGAGAGGAUGAUCAGCCACACUGGGACUGAGACACGGCGCAGACUCCUACGGGAGGCAGCAGUGGGGAAUGUUGGACAAUGGGCGCAAGCCUGAUCCAGCCAUGCCGCGUGAGUGAUGAAGGCCCUAGGGUUGUAAAGCUCUUUCACCGGUGAAGAUAAUGACGGUAACCGGAGAAGAAGCCCCGGCUAACUUCGUGCCAGCCGCCGCAGUAAAAC
rnacentral:rRNA from 1 species